rnacentral:rRNA from 1 species
GAGUUUGAUCCUGGCUCAGGAUGAACGCUGGCGGCGUGCUUAAUACAUGCAAGUCGAACGAAGCUCUUUUUCUUCGGAUGAAGAGUCUUAGUGGCGAACGGGUGCGUAACGCGUUGGUAACCUGCCCCAAAGAGGGGGAUAACAGUUCGAAAGGACUGCUAAUACCCCAUGUGAUCAUCAGGAUUAGAUGCUUGAUGAUGAAAGGAGUAAUCCGCUUUGGGAGGGGCCUGCGUCCCAUCAGCUUGUUGGUAGGGUAAUGGCCUACCAAGGCUCUGACGGGUAGGGGACCUGAGAGGGUGGCCCCCCACACUGGCACUGAAAUACGGGCCAGACACCUACGGGUGGCAGCAGUAGGGAAUAUUGGACAAUGGGCGAAAGCCUGAUCCAGCAACGCCGCGUGCACGAUGACGGCCUUCGGGUUGUAAAGUGCUUUUAGGAGAGAUGAGAAAGGACAGUAUCUCCUGAAUAAGCCUCGGCGAACUACGUGCCAGCAGCCGCGGUAAGACGUAGGAGGCGAGCGUUAUCCGGAUUUAUUGGGCGUAAAGCGCGUGCAGGCGGUUUGGAAAGUUGGAUGUGAAAGCUCCUGGCUUAACUGGGAGAGGUCGUUCAAACUACCAGACUAGAGAAUGGGAGAGGGAAGUGGAAUUCCGGGUGUAGUGGUGAAUGCGUAGAUAUCCGGAGGAACACCAGUGGCGAAAGCGGCUUCCUGGACCAUUUCUGACGCUAAGACGCGAAAGCUAGGGAGCGAACGGGAUAGAGACCCCGGUAGUCCUAGCUGUAACG